rnacentral:rRNA from 1 species
UACGGAAGGCAGCAGUGGGGAAUAUUGCACAAUGGGCGAAAGCCUGAUGCAGCUAUGCCGCGUGUAUGAAGAAGGCCUUAGGGUUGUAAAGUACUUUCAUCGGGGAGGAAAAAACAAAACUAAUAAUUUUAUUUCUUGACGUUACCCGAAAAAGAAGCACCGGCUAACUCCGUGCCAGCAGCCGCGGUAAUACGGAGGGUGCUAGCGUUAAUCAGAAUUACUGGGCGUAAAGAGCACGUAGGUGGUUUUUUAAGUCAGAUGUGAAAUCCCUGGGCUUAACCUAGGAACUGCAUUUUGAAACUGAAAUACUAGAGUAUCGUAGAGGGAGGUAGAAUUCUAGGUGUAGCGGUGAAAUGCGUAGAUAUCUGGAGGAAUACCUGUGGCGAAAGCGGCCUCCUAAACGAAUACUGACACUGAGGUGCGAAAGCGUUGGGGAGCAAACAGGGAUUAGAUACC